rnacentral:rRNA from 1 species
UACAGAGGUCCCAAGCGUUGUUCGGAUUCAUUGGGCGUAAAGGGUGCGUAGGCGGCGCGGUAAGUCGGGUGUGAAAUCUCGGAGCUUAACUCCGAAACUGCAUUCGAUACUGCCGUGCUUGAGGACUGGAGAGGAGACUGGAAUUUACGGUGUAGUGGUGAAAUGCGUAGAUAUCGUAAGGAAGACCAGUGGCGAAGGCGGGUCUCUGGACAGUUCCUGACGCUGAGGCACGAAGGCUAGGGGAGCAAACGGG